ACGCCUUGUUGGCCAUUAUACAAGCCGAGUGCUAUGAGUAAUUAAUGAGUCAGGGUAAACUUGGUUGUGUUUCGGAGCGCUAAUUUAACGUGUAAUUACUUACCGGCAAUGUUGGGAUACGCCAUUAGCAAACAGAAAUCCUACACGACAGCGGCAUUUAAAGGAGUAAGCAUAGAACAGCUAUAAAACUUUCCAAGACGUUUAUACGUCUUUAAAUUUAUGAGUUUUUCGAUGUAAGAUGUAUUUGAUGUAUUUUCGAACAGAACGUUAUAACUGCAGCUUACGGUUACAAUUUACCUUUGUUUUGGAAGGUUGUAGACAGGUCGCAUUAUAAAAUCAAUGAUGAACAUGGCCACAACAGUGAUUUAUGCUGAUUAAAUGACAGCAGGUACAGCGAUGAUUUCUUUGACGAUGCGACGAAACGCAGCAAUUUGAUGAAUAUUGAUUUAUAUUUGAUUCACCUCACCUGUCCCGGACAGAAGGCAUCGUAAUGACUAUUUUUUUACCUGAACUAUAUCAGUGAGAUGCACGUAGCAUGCAUACGCGUCGCGUAUCGUAUUUUGAACAGCAACAUGACUGUUCACGUAUACGGGAUACCCCGAGAUUUUACCUUAUUUUAUUUAGGCCUUAAUAAGUUAACUUGCCACGAAAACAGUAAGAUUUAUUUUACGCUGGCAAUAUAUGUAUAUAUAAUAUAAUAGGACCCCA